UACGGGGGGGGCAAGCGUUGUUCGGAAUUACUGGGCGUAGAGGGUUCGUAGGUGGCUCGCUAAGUCAGACGUGAAAUCCCUCAGCUUAACUGGGGAACUGCGUCUGAGACUGGCGAGCUCGAGUGCAGGAGAGGAACGCGGAAUUCCAGGUGUAGCGGUGAAAUGCGUAGAUAUCUGGAGGAACACCGGUGGCGAAGGCGGCGUUCUGGACUGCAACUGACACUGAGGAACGAAAGCCAGGGUAGCAAACGGG
rnacentral:rRNA from 1 species